UGUUAGUGUACAUGUUUUUAACUCCAAAAAAAUCAGCAAGUAAUUUUUCUUAUAAUCAGAGACAUAUAUAAAGACAAUUGUAUGUCUCUGAUAAAAUAUUCAUCACAAUUUGGCAUAUCUUUAAAUAAAUAUAAGGCUAUUGACUCCCAUUCACAAUUCUCAUAUACUUUUCAAGAGGCGAAAACAUAGUAAUUGUUAUUUU
rnacentral:lncRNA from 1 species